rnacentral:rRNA from 1 species
UACGAAGGGGGCUAGCGUUGCUCGGAAUCACUGGGCGUAAAGCGCACGUAGGCGGACUCUUAAGUCGGUGGUGAAAUCCUGGAGCUCAACUCCAGAACUGCCUUCGAUACUGAGAGUCUCGAGUCCGAGAGAGGUGAGUGGAACUGCGAGUGUAGAGGUGAAAUUCGUAGAUAUUCGCAAGAACACCAGUGGCGAAGGCGGGUCUCUGGGCCGUAACUGACGCUGAGGAGCGAAAGCGU